AUGAGACUGUCAUGUACAUACAUCUUGCUACAAUCUUUAUUAUGAUGAUCGUGCUUUCAACCGAAAUUUAGGCUAAGGCUCAAAUGGAUGAAAUAGAUGACUGUUGGUGCUGUCCUCAUAGUGGCUCACGGUCGCCUACUUCCUAAAUUAUAGAAAGUUGGCAUUUCUCAUCACUGGAAAAAGAGUAGCUGCGUCUUCCACGUGAUGAACCUGAAAUUAAAUUUUUAGCAAAGACCUGGCAAAAAAUUGGAAUUAUGAUGUAAUAUGUGUAAAAAAUGAAGCAUAUAAACAAUACAAUAUGUCAUAUUGUAUAUUUAAAAAACAAGUUAAUUAUAUUUGUAUGUAUCUAUUAUAUUUGUUUGUUUUUAAAUAACAUAACAGAAAAUAAACAACAAGAAUGCAUAAUCAGUA